rnacentral:tRNA from 1 species
GAGGGUAUAGCUCAGGUGGUAGAGUGCAUGCUUACCAGGCAUGAAAUCCUGAGUUCAAUACACAGUACCUCCU